ensembl:lncRNA
UAGUAUAUUAAACAAAUCCCAGCACCACACCAAAAGGAGGCAGCAAAUCAGAGCUAAACAUAUCCAUCUGCUAAUUUCCACAUGGUAAGAGAGCAACACAAAACAGGUUUAUAAUAUUUGGAUGUUUUAUUUUCUUUAAAUCAAGCAGGUUACAUUUCAUUUGUUUUUUUUUUACACAAUCUGAUAUUUAGAGGCAUUUGCAAAUAUGCUCAUAAAUUACAUGAUUUGUAAUCCCAAAGAAGGUGGUUAAUGAUCAAUAUUGGGAUCAACAGUGAUCACCCUACUAAUGUAGGCAUUACGUAUACAGGCCGAAAAAGAAAAGUUCCCAUUAAGGUCUCAUGUGAAACACCACAGGUCUGAAAUACUCAGGAACACAUGAAAAUGGCACAAAAAUGAAUUUCACUCUCCAACCUUUUGCUAAAGAGACGUUGACAGGCCCACAGAGAGCCUGGACGCUCACGGGACAACAUUCACACACAUUCUGCUUCAUGAAGAGGUCAGAUUAUCGUCAGACCAUAGACAUUACAUGUAAGGACACUGAACAUUUGGCCGGAUUACACAUAGAAAUGCAAUCCAAAAUGGGUAAAGAUAAAGCAUGUUUAUUGAUGCGGCAAACAAAGGUUCAAAUAUCCUCCAAAGCACUUCAAGCCCUCAAAGAAUGAAACUCAAAACACAGAUAAGGUAAAAGAAGAAACUUCUAAAUUAAAGUGGAGCGACCCAGGGACAAGUCUGGUUUGGGUUAAAGAUUAUGGAUGGUUAACUUUGUGUAACGUGUUUGGAAAAGCAAGUUUAGGUUUUAGGCAAGCGACUUCAGGUAUUAGGCAAGCGAGUACAGGCAAGCGAGUUUAGGUUUUAUGCAAGCGAGUUCAGGUAUUAGGCAAGCGAGUUUAGGCAAGCGAGUUUAGGCAAGCGAGUUUAGGCAAGCGAGUUUAGGCAAGCGAGUUUAGGCAAGCGAGUUUAGGCAAGCGAGUUUAGGCAAGCGAGUUUAGGCAAGCGAGUUUAGGCAAGCGAGUUUAGGCAAGCGAGUUCAGGUAUUAGGCAAGCGACGCGAGUUUAGCCAAGCAAGUUCAGGUUUUAUGCAAGCGAGUUUAGGUGUUAUGCAAGUGAGUUAAGACAAGCGAGUUUAGGCAAGCAAGUUUAGGUAAGAGAGUCAAGUUACUUUAGGCCUCACUUUAUUUGCGGUUAAAUUGCGGCAUUAGGUUUAGAAAGAAGGUUAAGAUCCAGGCUCAGGUUUGCUUCCAGCCUCGUCCCUCUAGUCGCUCCCUAUAAAGAGGGUUCCCAGCUACCGUGUUAAAAUACAACAGCUGGGAUUACAGAUAUGGAGUACAGAAAUAAAUGACAAAGAUUGAUUCAAACAUUCUUCCCCCAAAAUGUGGUGCAACAUAAAAUGGAGAAAAAAUUACUUUCUCUCCAUUGAAACCCAGUCAUAUCUUACGAUCUCACAAGGUCCCGCCGCAAGGGGCGGACUUACGAGCUCUAUAGAGUGUGCACUGUGUUGAUGUUGGGUGUGGAUUAAUGUGCUGGUGUAGCCAUCCAGGGAUCCUCAGGGUUUAUGGGAGUAGGACACACUGGUGUAGCCAUCCAGGGAUCCUCAGGGUUUAUGGGAGUAGGCCACACUGGUGUAGUUCAGUACUGUGAAGUAAAUUGAUGCAAAAA